UUGCAGUGCACAUCCAAGGUGAAAGGUCGAGGAGCAGACGUCAAACUCAUGCUGCCAACAACAACAAACAGUUGAAUAAGCCAAACGUUAACGCUGUAUUUGUUGAAUCUGUUUUUUUUCGUGUUAGUUCCAAGGCUCGUCGUCGGCAGAAAUGUCCGGAAAGGCAAAGGAUAUCUUACAGCUGGACCUGUAUGGUCUACUUGGUAUUGAAAGCACUGCUACAACGAAAGAGAUCAAGAAAGCUUAUCGACAGAAAGCCUUGACAUGCCAUCCGGACAAGAACCCAGACAACCCAAAAGCAGCUGAGCUCUUCCACCAGCUGUCCCAGGCUCUCGAGGUGCUUACCGAUGCUGCUGCCAAGGCUGCCUAUGACAAGAUUUGUGCUGCCAAGAAACAAGCAGAGGAAAGAAACCGGAGACUAGAUGACAAGAGGAAAAAAAUUAAGCUAGACCUGGAAACCAGAGAGCGACAAGCGGAAACUCAGAGCCAAGAGGAGGUGCAAAUAACUAGAACACUUGAAGAAGAGAUUGCUCGUUUGAGGGAGGAGGGAUCCAGGCAGCUUGAAGAGGAACAGAGGCUCAUCAGAGAGCAGAUCCAGCGAGAGAGAGAAGCACAGCAGCAGCAGCAAACAGGGGACUACGCUCAAAGAAACUCAGGAGUGGGGAGAUGUUCCAAGAGCAACGUGACCCCCAAAUUGAAGUUGAAGUGGAAGUGUAAAAAAGAUGACGACACGAAUGGAGGCUACGGUCAAGACACUCUUUUAAGACUUCUACAAAAGUACGGGGAUGUUUUGAAUGUGAUUGUAUCGAGCAAGAAGAAAGGAAGCGCUGUAGUUGAAUUUGCAACUGUGAGAGCAGCUGAGCUGGCCGUUAAGAAUGAAUGUGGCCUGAGUGACAACCCAUUGAAGAUUUCAUGGCUUGAAGGACAACCAGAAGUUGUUGCUCCAGCGUCACAGCCUGGCCAGUUCAUGUCUACACAGGGCGCCCUGACAAAUGAACGUGACUACGAGAGCUUGGUGAUGAUGAAGAUGAGGCAGGCCGCAGAGCGACAGAGACUCAUAGAACAAAUGCAGCAGGAGGACGAGGAUGAACCAUAGCACGGGAGGAUCUAGCUCGAACAUAGGAUGACUGAGGGAGAUACAGAGUAGAGAAGAAGUGAGGGCUUCUGAAGGAUUCAGUAUUAAAGCCUGAGGUGGUCCCAAAGGACUCUCCAUCCUUGGGAAAUCAGGUGCAGCAGAUGACCUCAGAACACUUCUGUGGUCUACUGUGGAGCAACCUGUACCUCAACCUGUUCUGCCUUCUUCAGGAGACCUCUGUUACAGCACAGUCUUUCAGUCUGGCAAGGUUCCUUGAGUGGAAAGGCCCGAAAAUGUAAUCAUAUCAUGAAGACUAAGAGAUUGAACACUACCUAACAACUUUUGAGAGAGUUGCCAGUGCAUGCCAGUGGCCACAGGAGGAGUGCGCACUACAUCUUGUUCCACCUCUCAGUGGUAAGGCACAAGCUGCUUUUGUAGCUAUGGAAAUUGAUGGGACUAUGGACUAUGCAUAGGUGAAUAGUGCCAUUAUCGAAAAAUUUGAAAUAAACACAGACACUUACUGAAUGAGGUCCCACUUCACCACCAUGGAGAGGAGACUCCCAAAGAGUUGCAGACACACCUGAAAGACCUGCAUGACAAGUGGAUGGUCCAAAAAGAAGAAACAAAGGAGCAAAAAGGAGAUGCUAUAGUGAUGGAGCAAUUCCUGAGAGUCCUCAACCCCGACCUUUGCACCUGAGUAAAAGAAUUCAACCCAACCACAUCAAAGCAAGCUGCAGAGAUGACCGAAGCUUUCCUUGUCACCCGAUGCCCACUAAAAAGCUAUACCUCUCCCAGACCCAGCCCCGCCCUCCAUCAUUGGGUAGGACAGAGGAUAGGAAUGGGCACAGCUUCAGGAACUCAAAGCAAGGUCCGCUGAGUAAAACCAGCAGUUGGGUUAGGAAAUUUAAGCAUAGAGGCCCCUCAGUAUGUCAGUCCUGCAGUCGCACAGGUCACUUUAAGUCAGAAUGUCCAGGUCAGCAGGUUAGUAAAACAUACAUGAGCUUUUCACCAGAGCCUUGGAUUGUCAGUAAGGGCAAGUCAAGGAGCUAGCACUCCCUAGUCAUUAAGAGCUCACCACUGUUUUUACUGAAGAAAGACCGUGUGUUGCCCUCUUAGAUUCAGGUAGUAACUACACUCUUAUCAGGCAGGAUUGUCUCCCCAGGGAUGUCACCUUCAGUGGUAAAGUUUAAGUUUGGUGUUUUCACAGUGACAAUGUAGACUACCCCAUAGCCAGUGUCAAUAUUCAAGUUGAGGGCCAGCAGUAUUUACUGUCAGUGGGAGUAAUGAGUAAAUGUCCUUGCCAAGUGGCGUUAGGUAGGGAUCUGAUAGCCAGGGUAGAGUGAAAGGAUCCCAGUGUUUCAUGUGAGGGUAUGAUUGCAGUCACCAGGUCUAAACACAAUGAGCACCAGUCAGAGCCACAUCUAGGCUGGAGUGAGUUACUUUUUGCAGGCAGUAAAGUUCCUGAGGUUGAGGGAUCCAGCCAGGGUUGUGCAAAGAAGCAGACAGUAGAGGAGACAGGAUAAAGUGAGGGGAACAAAGAUUGUUGAGCUAGCUCCAGAGCCAGAAUGUGAAGAGCUAAUGGUUAUACUUGGUGAUAUAGCCCAGCUUCAAAAGCAGGACCUCUCUCUAGCACCCCUAUUUUCAAAGUGUGUCCCUAACUCAACUGAGAUCACAGAGAGUCAGGGAGGUAUUUCUCCUAAAGGGUGAGCAACUGUAUCAUCGCAGCAUGGUGGGAGACCAUUUGGUUGUUACCAAGAGCUUGAGGCCCACAGUCUUGCAGCUAGCUCAUUCUAUACCUUGGACAGGUCACUUAUGUCAUCUCAAAACAUUCUCCAGAAUGACAACUUGUUUUCAUUAGCCACAGCAGUUUGCUGACACAGUUCAGUUUUGCAAAUCAUGUCCACAGUGCCAGUUAACAGCAACAAGCAGGAAGGGUGACAGGGCUCCACUAUCAUCAUGCCAGUUAUAGACAUCCCUUUCUCCUGCAUCUCCAUGGAUAUUGUAGGCCCACUGGAGAGGAGCAGCACAAGUCACAGGUAUAUUUUAGUGGUGUGUGACUAUGCUACAAGAUAUCCUGAGGCAUUCCCCUAAGAAAGGUCAAGGCUGCCAGAUUGCAAAAUUCAGGUUACAGGUAUUUCAUGUUAUCUUGUUGAAGGAAUGGCUUGACAGACCUGCAUCAUCACUACAGUUGUGAGCUUGCAUUGUGGUUGAAGAAGAGGAACCACAGGAGCAGUUCUUUCCCUCUGCAGGUGAAGAGCAGUCACUCCCAGUUCUAAGUCAGGUUGCAGCAGACCAGCAGGAUGAACUAGAGGCCAUCAUGUCUGUUGAGCUCUUUAGCACCAAGCCCAGUUGCACAGACUUCAUCCAACAUGACAUACAGCUCCAUUGUCCCAACCAACAGCCCAUUAGGGACACCACCUCCAGAGUUCCAGCUAAUUUGGUGCCUGCACUGAAGCAGGAGGUGGAAGACAUGCUUGCCAUGGGGGUCAUGAGCCAUGUAGAGAUCCUCUAACUGGACUGGUCAUCAACGCAUGCAAAUGUCACAUCGCCAAGACAGAGGUGGAGUACCUAUGAUACAUCAUUGGGGGUAAGGUCGGGUCAUCCACCCUCAAGUGAGUAAGAUUGAAGCCCUUGCUGCCUAUCCUCCAACCACCCAAGAGGAAGGUAAAAUUGUUCCUGGGUUUGGCUGGUUGGUACCGUCACCGUUUAUUCCCAAUUUCUCUGCUAGGUCAGCUGUUCUUAGCGACCUGACCUGUAAAUCCAGCCUUAACAAGGUCAAAUGGACUCCAGAGUUUGAUAAUGCUUUUGUGGACCUGAAAAACUGUUUGUGUAAUGAGCCUGUGUUGCAGUGUCAGAUUUCAGCUGUCCAUUUACGGUGCAGACAGAUGCUUCUGGGGCAGAACUUGGAGCUGUGUUGCUGCAGGGUGGAGGAGAGGACCAAAGGCCAGUACAGGACACAGACUGCAAGCUCUUCACAAGGGAAAUGAGGGGAUGAAAAGAAUGAAAGAUUCCAAUGCAAGGAUUACCAGGUGGUAUCUGUCUCUACAGCCAAAUCAUUCCAGUACCGACCAGGACACAAGAAUGUUGUGGCUGACUUCCUGUCUCGUUCCUUUGAGGAGUGACUGUCUUAAAGGGGUCACUUACUAUCACGGGUCUUGUCUGUAUUAGCGUUAUAUUACAGUUUACAUUAAAGGUUAAAGCAAACACACAGCCAUAAGUUAGUUUCAGUUUUUUUUUUAUUAUGUUGCAUGGUUUACAAUUUUGUAAUUGUUUGUUCCUUUGUUCAUACUUGCUAUUGUGUUUUCCUUUGUUCAGAUCCACCAUGUAGGACUACUAUUUGGUAGGGGCCAGCCUGGCAGUUCCUGAAUUUAUGGUAUUGAUGAUGUCAUGGUGACAUCACUGGGCCAAACCAUGUGGAGGGGUUUUCUUUUUUGUAGGAAUGUUUCUUUUGUUUGUUUAAGUAUUAGGAAAACAUACUUUUUAUUAAGCCAUUUAGUAAUGUAAAUGAGCACGUAAAUGAGUCAAAGCAUGUUAUCUGAUUUCUUUGUAUUAACGUCACUGUGUAGGCCCCCCUUAUUUGUUAUGGUGCUGGCUGAAUGGGUCUAUGUGUGAACUGAACACCUUAUGUAGUCAGUUGAGGUUUUUACUCCUGUGAAGGAGAGUUGAGGCUGUGCUCCCGCAAACACAUGCCUUUUGUUUGAUUUACUAUGAAUUAAUUUUCUGAGUUAUUUUUCCUUGUGUUUUUUUUGUUAUUUUGCCUGAGUUACAGGCACUGUAAAUAAAUAUUCAUAUUCUGCUGA